GUGUUGUAUGAAAGGAGAGGGGGGUUAGCACUUCCCUUGGCAAGGAUGGAAGAGGCCCUCAGGCCUGACAACAUGUAUACCGUUAAGGCAUUGCCACCUACUUCAUGGCGUCUAGCCAUCGUUAUUU
rnacentral:ncRNA from 1 species